GACGAACGCUGGCGGCGUGCCUAAUACAUGCAAGUAGAACGCUGAAGAGAGGAGCUUGCUCUUCUUGGAUGAGUUGCGAACGGGUGAGUAACGCGUAGGUAACCUGCCUUGUAGCGGGGGAUAACUAUUGGAAACGAUAGCUAAUACCGCAUAACAAUGGAUGACACAUGUCAUUUAUUUGAAAGGGGCAAUUGCUCCACUACAAGAUGGACCUGCGUUGUAUUAGCUAGUAGGUGAGGUAAUGGCUCACCUAGGCGACGAUACAUAGCCGACCUGAGAGGGUGGACGGCCACACUGGGACUGAGACACGGCCCAGACUCCUACGGGAGGCAGCAGUAGGGGAUCUUCGGCAAUGGGGGCAACCCUGACCGAGCAACGCCGCGUGAGGGAAGAAGGUUUUCGGAUCGUAAAGCUCUGUUGUAAGUCAAGAACGGGUGUGAGAGUGGAAAGUUCACACUGUGACGGUAGCUUACCAGAAAGGGACGGCUAACUACGUG
rnacentral:rRNA from 1 species